CACUUUACAAUCUAUUCACGAGAAUCUAAAUACACAGUUAGAGACUAAAAUGGCGCAGGAAAGCAAAGAGCCCUGCAAGAAAGAGGCUUGUGCCAUUCAAGCUUGCCUCUCAAAGAACAACUUCCUCCCGCAAAAGUGCGCUAAAGUAAUUGAAUUGCUGGACUUCUGCUGCUCAAGAUGCAAUUAUAAUUCAACUCACUGUGCUUCGCUCUCUGGAUUAUUGAAGCAAAACUCCAAAUUACGAGACUCAGCCAAAUAAUUGCAUCAGUAGUUGAGGCGCAGGAAAGAAAAAAGGUUAUACACACGCAAUAAUUCCUUAAAAAAACUCAAUAAUAUAUUGAUUUGAUGAUAAGGGGAUGAAAAGGGAAUUGAUAUCAAAUCCUAAGUUAUUUUCCCUGUCUAUUGAACAAGAAUUACUCCUAAUGUUUUUUGCAACGAACUGCUCCUAAUGCCUGAAAAUACUAAGCGCCUAAUCUGCUUAAUAAUCCCGCCUAUUUGCCAUUGAGCCUGCCUAAACCCUUCAACUUCUUCUCUCCACUUUGGAAUUUUAAUUGAGGUUCAAUAAUUUUUGUAACACAUUCCAAUAUAUGUCUAUCCUCCCAAUAUAGACAAUGUAUUUUGUUAAUUGAGGUUCAUUUCUCUGUUAAAAAGUGUAGUACUUUACUUUGAACUUCUAAUGUACAUUAUUUUGUAGAAAUAGAAAAUAGUAUUGUCAUGCAUAAGUUAUUCACAAUAGUUUUUGAGAAUGGUUCAGUUGUUUGUUUUUUCUAUUCCUUUUUAAAAUCAAUUGGUUCCUUCCCUUGA